AUGGGCAAAGGAGAUCCUAAAGAAGUCGAGAGGCAAAAUGUCAUCAUAUGCAUUCUUUGUGCAAACUUGCCAGGAGGAGCACAAGAAGAAGCACCUGGAUGCUUCCGUCAACUUCUCAGAGUUUUCUAAGAAGGGUUCAGAGAGGUGGAAGACUAUGUCUGCUAAAGAGAAAGGGAAAUUUGAAGAUAUGGCCAAGGCAGACAAGGCCCGUUAUCAAAGAGAAAUGAAAACCUACAUCCCUCCUAAAGGGGAAACAAAAAAGAAGUUCAAGGAUCCCAAUGCACCCAAGAGGCCUCCUUCGGCCUUCUUCUUGUUCUGUUCUGAGUAUCGCCCUAAAAUCAAAGGGGAACAUCCUGGCCUGUCUAUUGGUGACGUUGCAAAAAAAAAAAACUGGGAGAGUGGAACAACACUGCUGCAGAUGACAAGCAGCCUUACGAAAAGAAGGCUGCGAAGCUGAAGGAAAAAUACGAAAAGGAUAUUGCUGCCUACCGAGCUAAAGGAAAGCCUGAUGCAGCAAAAAAAGGAGUUGUGAAGGCUGAAAAGAGCAAGAAUAAGAAGGAAGAGGAGGAAGAUGAGGAAAGAUGAAGAGGACGAAGAAGAGGAUGAGGAUGAAGAUGAAGAGGAUGAUGAUGAAUAAGUUGGU